rnacentral:rRNA from 1 species
UACGUAGGGUGCAAGCGUUAAUCGGAAUUACUGGGCGUAAAGCGUGCGCAGGCGGUUUUGUAAGUCUGUCGUGAAAUCCCCGGGCUCAACCUGGGAAUUGCGAUGGAGACUGCAAGGCUAGAAUCUGGCAGAGGGGGUAAAAUUCCACGUGUAGCAGUGAAAAUGCGUAGAGAUGUGGAGGAACACCGAUGGCGAAGGCAGCCCCCUGGGUCAAGAUUGACGCUCAUGCACGAAAGCGUGGGGGGAGCAAACAGG